AUGGCUCCGUGUCAAGUGGUCGUCUUUACUGGAAAGGAAGGCAGGUCCUCUCUGGUGUCCAGCGAGAGAGCCGUUGCUUGGUUACGCAGAUAUGGGCAGCCGCUGACUUUUUAUCAAUCACCAAGGACCACAGUUUCAGCUAAAAAUCUUCUUUGCUGAUCUACUCAAGAAAACAAGUCACCUAAGUCUUGGAUGGCCUGAGGUCACAGACAACAUUCAAAAAUCAACCAGACGUCAUCCAUGGCAAUGGUGCCUGUCUAAUCAUAUCUGAGGUUCAGAUGCUGGUCACAUCUGGGUCAACAUCUUCCAUGUUACCAUUCCCAGUUGCAGGUCUGUCAUGAUUUUCUGAAUGCAUGUGUGUGUCGACACACGUUUGAGAGCACCGCCUCAGGCACGACAGCUAUUUCCAGCUUUCCAGAAAUAAGCUUUUCCAACCGGACGCAACUUUUAACCUUUUAAAUGUUAAAAGUAACUAGUAUUGCCUGUGUUCGGAAACACAGCGGCUAAAACGGAUGCAGCGGCGUGAUAAGAAUCAAAAAAGUGAUGCAACUAAUUCAACCUGGGAGCUUUGCCUGAAACCAAAAGCAUGCAUAACAAAUGAACAGAGCUCUACAACAGAAGCAUAAAGCUAAACGAGAGGCAAGACAAGCCAACAAAGUAUAUUUCAGAGGAGAACAGGGACAUUUAUCAAUUUUUUUUCUAGCAAAUAUAGGUUCAU